UUCGCAAUGCCCGAAAGGGUGACGAAGCGACGCCGCGUGUGGGAAGAAGGCCUUCGGGUUGUAAACCACUGUCGGGAGUUAAGAAAUGCAAGAAUGUUAAUAGCGUUUUUGCUUGACUAAGGCUCCGGAGGAAGCCACGGCUAACUCUGUGCCAGCAGCCGCGGUAAUACAGAGGCGGCAAGCGUUGUUCGGAAUUAUUGGGCGUAAAGAGCACGUAGGCGGCUAUAUAAGUCGGUUGUGAAAGCCUUCCGCUCAACGGGAGAACAGCAUCCGAUACUGUAUGGCUUGAGUGUGGGAGGGGAGAGCGGAACUUCUGGUGGAGCGGUGAAAUGCGUAGAUAUCAGAAGGAACGCCGGCGGCGAAAGCGUCUCUCUGACCCAUAACUGACGCUGAGUGUGCGAAAGCUAGGGGAGCGAACGGGAUUAGAUACCCCGGUAGUCCUAGCCGUAAACGAUGGGCACUAAGUAGAGGGGUUUU
rnacentral:rRNA from 1 species